rnacentral:rRNA from 1 species
UACGAAGGGGGCUAGCGUUGCUCGGAAUCACUGGGCGUAAAGCGCACGUAGGCGGAUUGUUAAGUCAGGGGUGAAAUCCUGGAGCUCAACUCCAGAACUGCCUUUGAUACUGGCGAUCUUGAGUCCGGGAGAGGUGAGUGGAACUCCGAGUGUAGAGGUGAAAUUCGUAGAUAUUCGGAAGAACACCGGUGGCGAAGGCGGGUCUGCUGGGCG